AGACACCGCCAUAUAAGGGACGGAACUAUUAAUUGCCAAGUUGACUAUGUUCUUGACAAGUUAGCCCUUGCCUGAAAAGAAUUGACGAAGUGAGAGUUUCAAAUGAAGAAGAUAGCUUCAUCUUAUGGGAGGAUUCUCUCCAUAGAAGUUCAAUAAUUUACAAGCAAGAUGGUUCAUUCUGGAACAUAAGUUAUUGAUCUUUUAAUCACUCACGUCUUUUGUGAUUCCUGUGUUUUCCUCAAUGUAGUAGCUGCUUUACUCAGAUUGGCACUUUUUCUUUAUUUAUCAUGCAACAUUUACUCUAAUUAAUAUGUGUCUCCCAUGGUUUAAUUACUGCUCGGUCUUUUGACCUUUAGUCAUGCCUACAUCGGCAUGGUUGUUAAAAUCGAGUCAUAACUCGUAAAACCGUCAUAUUUUAUGUUUUUAGGUAUAGAUUGAGUUACGUUGUUUGUGAAAUUGAUUUUGGUUAAAAUGUGUUAUAGCCAAAUUGGUUAAAAUGUGUUAGAGCCAAAUUGCUUUUGAUUUUGGUCAUAACUCGUAAACCCUUUGAAGUUGGAUUGAAUUGGAAGCAAUUUUACUUGAUUUUAUUUG
rnacentral:lncRNA from 1 species